rnacentral:lncRNA from 1 species
GAAGCAGAAGAAUAACUACAAGUGAAGACAUGGGUGCUUCCCUCAGAUCCAGGAAGAAAACAAAAUCUGUGCUGACCUGGGCAGGAGGCAGCUGAGCUGAAAGGCACUGGGUAACAUCCAGUCCAGUCCAGCUCUCUCGAAAGAUGCAGAUGUAGAUGCUCUGACACCUUGUUGAAAUGCCAGGACAGACGGACACAAAGAAGACUUUUUCCAGGCUUGCUGCUCUGAAGAGGAUCUCUUAUCUUUCAAGGCUGGUGUUAGGUUUCAAAAUUGGAUUUAUUUCAAUACUUGAGUUUUUGAAGACCAGAUCCUCUGCUGUUCCCUUGCUACCUUUCCAAACAGGCCUUCAUUUGCAGGUAGGGACUGUCACUUACAGGUAACAGGAACAAUUUUCUAUCAAGAGCUUUAUUACAUCUAAAGAUGGAUAUUUACUAAGCAAGGUAGAGCUUCUGCGUUUUUAUAAUGCAUAUUUAAAGAGUAGUUAAGCAAGUCGUG